AACGAACGCUGGCGGCAGGCUUAACACAUGCAAGUCGAACGCAUCCUUCGGGGUGAGUGGCAGACGGGUGAGUAACGCGUGGGAACGUGCCCUUCAGUUCGGGAUAACCCAGGGAAACUUGGGCUAAUACCGGAUACGUGCGAGAGCAGAAAGAUUUAUCGCUGAAGGAUCGGCACGCGUCUGAUUAGCUAGUUGGUGGGGUAACGGCCCACCAAGGCGACGAUCAGUAGCUGGUCUGAGAGGAUGAUCAGCCACAUUGGGACUGAGACACGGCCCAAACUCCUACGGGAGGCAGCAGUGGGGAAUAUUGGACAAUGGGCGCAAGCCUGAUCCAGCCAUGCCGCGUGAGUGAUGAAGGCCUUAGGGUUGUAAAGCUCUUUCGUCCGGGACGAUAAUGACGGUACCGGAAGAAGAAGCCCCGGCUAACUUCGUGCCAGCAGCCGCCGUAACAC
rnacentral:rRNA from 1 species